UACGAAGGGGGCGAGCGUUGUUCGGAAUCACUGGGCGUAAAGCGUGCGUAGGCGGUUAUAAAAGUUAGAAGUGAAAGCCCAGGGCUUAACCUUGGAAUUGCUUUUAAUACUGUAUAACUCGAAUUCGGGAGAGGAUAGCGGAAUUGUCAGUGUAGCAGUGAAAUGCGUAGAUAUUGACAGGAACACCAGUGGCGUAAGCGGCUAUCUGGACCGACAUUGACGCUGAGGCACGAAAGCGUGGGGAUCAAACAGG
rnacentral:rRNA from 1 species